UUCCUGUGGCUUCUCUUCAGCUGACGAACAAAUCGUUCGCUUUUUACUAAAGAUUUCCGUGAAGAGGACCACUCGGAAAAAAAAUUAUACAUAUGGUAAAUUUGGGGAUAUGUUCCAAAAAAUUA